UUGUAAACUGCUUUUGUACAGGAAGAAACACCUCUACGUGUAGAGACUUGACGGUACUGUGAGAAUAAGGAUCGGCUAACUCCGUGCCAGCAGCCGCGGUAAUACGGAGGAUCCCAGCGUUAUCCGGAAUCAUUGGGUUUAAAGGGUCCGUAGGCGGCCUUAUAAGUCAGUGGUAAAAUCUCCCAGCUCAACGGGGAAACGGCCAUUGAUACUGUUGGUCUUGAAUUAUUAGGAAGCUACUAGAAUAUGUAGUGUAUCGGUGAAAUGCUUAGAGAUUACAUGAAAUACCAAUUGCUAAGGCAGGUUACUACUAAUAUAUUGACGCUGAUGGACGAAAGCGUGCGUAGCGAACAGGAUUAAAUACCCUGGUAUUCCACGC
rnacentral:rRNA from 1 species